UGGCUCUCGCAUCGAUGAAGAACGCAGCGAAAUGCGAUAAGUAAUGUGAAUUGCAGAAUUCAGUGAAUCAUCGAAUCUUUGAACGCACCUUGCGCUCCUUGGUAUUCCGAGGAGCAUGCCUGUUUGAGUGUCAUGAAAUCUUCAACCUAUGACAUUUGUUGUGGGCUUGGAUUUGGAGGCUUGUCGGCCUAAGGUCGGCUCCUCUUAAAUGCAUUAGCUUGAUUCCUUGCGGAUCGGCUCUCGGUGUGAUAAUUGUCUACGCCGUGACCGUGAAGCGUUUGGCGAGCUUCUAACCGUCUUGUAUGAGACAGCUUUAUGACCUCUGACCUCAAAUCAGGUAGGACUACCCGCUGA
rnacentral:misc_RNA from 1 species